rnacentral:rRNA from 1 species
GUGGGGAAUCUUGCGCAAUGGGCGAAAGCCUGACGCAGCAACGCCGCGUGCGGGAUGAAGGCUUUCGGGCUGUAAACCGCUUUCAGCAGGAACGAAACUGACGGUACCUGCAGAAGAAGGAGCGGCCAACUACGUGCCAGCAGCCGCGGUGACACGUAGGCUCCAAGCGUUGUCCGGAUUUAUUGGGCGUAAAGAGCUCGUAGGCGGUUGAGUAAGUCGGGUGUGAAAACUUUGGGCUUAACCCGGAGACGCCACUCGAUACUGCUCUGACUUGAGUUCAGGAGGGGAGUGGGGAAUUCCUAGUGUAGCGGUGAAAUGCGCAGAUAUUAGGAGGAACACCGGUGGCGAAGGCGCCACUCUGGACUGAAACUGACGCUGAGGAGCGAAAGCAUGGGUAGCAAACAGGAUUAGAUACCCCAGUAGUCC